GACGAACGCUGGCGGCGUGCCUAACACAUGCAAGUCGAGCGAGCCGCGGACGGGUGAGUAAUGUCUGGGAAACUGCCUGAUGGUGGGGGAUAACUCCUGGACACUUUACCUAAUACCGCCUACCAUCAGAUGUGCCCCGAUGGGAUGAGCUAGUAGGUGGGGUAACGGCUCACAUAGGCGUCUAUCCCUAGCUGGUCUGAGAGGAUGACAAGCCACACUGUAACUGAGACACGGUCCAGACUCCUACGGGAGGCAGCAGUGGGGAAUAGUGGACAAUGAACGCAAGCCUGAUACAGCCAGGCCGCGGGUAUGAAGAAGGCCUUCGGGUUGUAAAGUACUUUCAGCGGGGAGGCGUUGCCCGCAGAAGAAGGACCGGCUAACUACGGGCGAGCAGCCGCAGUUAUAC
rnacentral:rRNA from 1 species